CCACUUCCACUCUCCAAAGGGAUCGGCACAGCCCCGUCCAAGCUGGAGUCCUCCUGAGCCUGGAAAUCAUCCAUGAUAAAAAAGAGGUGCCUGGAAGCCACAGGCGGCAGAUUCAGCAAGUGAAGAGCACAGUGCAGACAAGAAGCUGAAAAGCUGUGGUUCAAUGCCCGCUCAGGGGUUGUGAAGACCAAGGUGAACUGAGGGAAGCAGCUGAGUUGCUGCCUACCAAGCACUAGCCCUUCCCCACACACAACAAUCAGUCCGUCAAGGCAACCAGCCUCUGUGGGGGGCAAAGACAGAUAUGGGCUCGUGUUGGGUGACUGGGGGAGUCCGAGUGACCUGAAGUCUCAGGCAUGCCAUGAAAACCCAGAGAGACACGGUGUAGCUCUGUUACUUAACCUGUUUCCUCAGAAGUCCAACAUCCCGCUGGCACUCCUCUUCCUCCCAGUGAGCACGCAGAUACUCCUUCACGUUGUCUUUGAUGUAAGGAAACAAGGUCUCCUGGCAGCACAGAAGAAAAACAGGCAGCUCCUUUAACGUGGCAGAGCAGGAGACCCGAGCCUGCCUGUGCACAGCUCCCAUCUCUCUGGGACCACACCGUCAGAUGGCCAGGCUCCUCGGAGACGUCCAGCCCCAGAUGUGGCUGCCCCAACACAGCUUGGCAGGAUGGAGAAACAGCCGUCAGCAAACACAGCUCGACAGCCCUCCUAAGCCUUUGCAACUGCUCACAGCAAUGUUAAACCCAGCAUAGAAAGGGUAGUAUUUUUACUGUCAGUAGACACCCACG